rnacentral:rRNA from 1 species
CCCGCCUGGGAACUACGAGCAUAAGCUUAAAACCUAAAGGACUUGGCGGUGCUUUAGACCCACCUAGAGGAGCCUGUUCUACAACCGAUAACCCCCGUUAAACCUCACCUUCUUUUGUUAUUUCCGCCUAUAUACCGCCGUCGUCAGCUUACCCUGUGAAGGUUCUUCAGUAAGCAAAAUUGAUUUUUUCCAAAACGCCAGGUCGAGGUGUAGCAUAUGAGAAGGAAAGAAAUGGGCUACAUUUUCUGAUUACAGAAAACACGGAUAUUACUAUGAAACAGUAUAUAGAAGGAGGAUUUAGCAGUAAGCAGAGAAUAGAGAGCUCU